CGGAGAUUCAGGUUCUUCUGUGAUGUCAGUGGUAGGUUAGGCUUGUGUUCGAUGACGUCAUGGGCGCUCUUCCCACCACCCAGCGACCUAGGAGGGAUCAGUGAGGUGGGUUCGAGCGCCGGCCUUUCCUGCUGUCGCGCCGAAAAGGUCAGCUGUCUCAGCACGCCGCGGCCGCCCUGCCUGAAAGGUCCCCGAAACGGGGAUGCGAUCAUCGCUGUCUCUGCAGCGAUAAGCAAAGGCCCAGCAUCAGAGAUGCAGAGAAAAGGGCAGAAGGUUGCACCCAGAGGAGUCACCAGAGAGAGAGGCGCAUGGAAAGCUUUGUGCAUCCUUCCGUCAAGAUGACAGGGCCACGCGGCGUCACCCUGGCCCUAGCAAAGGUUAUCGCUGGCUGGAGACGGAAAGGUCGGGCUGGCGCCAGGAGAUAGCGACGUCG
rnacentral:lncRNA from 1 species